rnacentral:rRNA from 1 species
AUUGUUCGCAAUGGGCGCAAGCCUGACGACGCAACGCCGCGUGGAGGAUGAAGAUCUUCGGGUCGUAAACUCCUGUCGAGCGGGAAGAACACCUUUCGGGCGAAUAUCCCGGAGGGCUGACGGUACCGCUACAGGAAGCCCCGGCUAACUCCGGGCCAGCAGCCGCGGUAAUACAGAGGGUGCGAGCGUUGUCCGGAAUCACUGGGCGUAAAGGGCGCGUAGGUGGCGCGGCAAGCGUGCGGUGAAAGCCCGGGGCUCAACCCCGGGUCGGCCGUGCGAACUGCCGCGCUCGAGCAGAGUAGAGGCGGGUGGAAUUCCGGGUGUGGCGGUGGAAUGCGUAGAGAUCCGGAAGAACACCGGUGGCGAAGGCGGCCCGCUGGGCUCUGGCUGACACUGAGGCGCGACAGCGUGGGGAGCAAAC